rnacentral:rRNA from 1 species
CCUACGGGGGGCUGCAGUGGGGAAUAUUGGACAAUGGGGGGAACCCUGAUCCAGCCAUGCCGCGUGUGUGAAGAAGGCCCUCGGGUUGUAAAGCACUUUCAGUGAGGAAGAACGCCUGGUGGUUAAUACCCAUCAGGAAAGACAUCACUCACAGAAGAAGCACCGGCUAACUCCGUGCCAGCAGCCGCGGUAAUACGGAGGGUGCGAGCGUUAAUCGGAAUUACUGGGCGUAAAGCGCGCGUAGGUGGCUUGAUAAGUCGGUUGUGAAAGCCCCGGGCUCAACCUGGGAAGGGCAUCCGGAACUGUCAAGCUAGAGUGCAGGAGAGGAAGGUAGAAUUCCCGGUGUAGCGGUGAAAUGCGUAGAGAUCGGGAGGAAUACCAGUGGCGAAGGCGGCCUUCUGGACUGACACUGACACUGAGGUGCGAAAGCGUGGGUAGCAAACAGGAUUAGAUACCCCAGUAGUC